GCUUGUGUGCGUGGCAGGAAGAUAUUUUAAUUAAUUAAUUAAAAAGUAAUAAUAUUUUUAUAAUAUCGAUUACAAAAAAUCUUUGACAACUUUUUACUUUUUAAUUUUAUAUUGUAUGCUGGUUUCUAAUAAUAAAUAAGAAAAUUAAUAUAUUUAUUAAUAUAUUCAAUAUAUAUACGAUGACGCAACGCGCAUGCGCCGCGCGAGUUACUAAACUUGCCAGUGGACAGGACAGCCAUUUUGUCUUCGGUGGUGAUCAGCUCAACACGUAUCGUUCUCAUUAAAUUCAAAUUACCAGGAAUUCUAUAGAUUGUAAAAACAGCAUAGAAUAAGGUGGGGAGAAAUGUUCGCGCGAGCCGUAAUACAACACAACGAUAUAUAGUGUAUCAUUUUUCAUCAUGCUGGAGCAGGAUGCUCAUAGUGCAAGAAUCAACGAAGAUUUAAAAUCGUGCGCGAGCAUUAAAUAAAUCUAGUAUUGUAUCGCUAAAUUAAAAAAACGAAACUAGAGACGAAACAAGAGCAGUGCUUGUUUAUUAAUAAAAAUUUUUAAUUAACAGUUCAUGAAAAGUUUAUUAAAUUACAAUUCGUUAAAUCAACUAUGAGGAGUUUGAAAUAAGUGUAUUGUAUCGAUUGUGUGCAAAACAAUCAGUUAUAGAAUCAAUGUUUGUUCGUACAAAGUUUUAUUUUUAUAUUUGAUAGACUGUAGUUAUAUUUAAACAGUAAAUUAAAUUCAAUGUUAUCACGUAAUAAAUAAAUUAUUGUCGCGUAUUAGAAUCAGUGUAUUUUAGAAAAUAAUCAAGAAAUCAGUACACAUCUUUUGUAACAAAAUAUUAGCAAGUAACAUGAUAAAUUUUAUAAACCAUAAUUUUCAUUAAUUCGUCGUGAUAAUAAAUUUAUUCGAAAUUUGUUUUAAAUCUUUUUGCAGAUGAUCAUCGUUAUAAUAAUCCACAAAAGUUUCAAUUUAGAACAGUUUGUUAAUCUAUCUAAUUUUCAAUUUAUUAUGGAUCAACAUAUCGUCAAUUUUCUUCAAUUUCGAGGUACAAAGAGGACGAGUUUUUUAAUGCCAUCAGAGAAUUUCUUAAUUAAUUAAUUAAAAUUUAGUCUUAAAAAUUUCUUAUGAGCUGCAAAAUUUAAAUCAAGCAAUAACGAGUAUACAAGUCGUACGUAGAGAAAAUGUUCCUAUUAUAAAUUUUAUAAAAAAAACAAAGCAAGUCGAAGAAGGAUUACAUUUUUAUUUGAUAAAAAAUUGUUGAAAAAGAUAUUGUUAUAAAAAAUUUUUAAACUACCAAA